GACGAACGCUGGCGGCGUGCUUAACACAUGCAAGUCGAGCGGUAAGGCCCUUUCGGGGGUACACGAGCGGCGAACGGGUGAGUAACACGUGGGUGACCUGCCCUUAGCUCUGGGAUAAGCCUGGGAAACUGGGUCUAAUACCGGAUAUGACUCCACGGCGCAUGUUGUGGGGUGGAAAGCCUUGUGCGGCUGGAGAUGGGCCCGCGGCCUAUCAGCUUGUUGGUGGGGUGAUGGCCUACCAAGGCUGCGAUCGGUAGCUGGUCUGAGAGGAUGGUCA
rnacentral:rRNA from 1 species